rnacentral:rRNA from 1 species
UACGGAGGGAGCUAGCGUUGUUCGGAAAUACUGGGCGUAAAGCGCACGUAGGCGGCGCAGCAAGUCAGGGGUGAAAUCCCGGGGCUCAACCCCGGAACUGCCCUUGAAACUGCAGUGCUAGAAUCUUGGAGAGGCGAGUGGAAUUCCGAGUGUAGAGGUGAAAUUCGUAGAUAUUCGGAAGAACACCAGUGGCGAAGGCGGCUCACUGGACCGGUAUUGACGCUGAUGUGCGAAAGCGUGGGGAGCAAACAGG